rfam:Myotis lucifugus cont2.26604, whole genome shotgun sequence.
GCCGGUUUGGCUCAGUGGAUAGAGCAUCAGCCUGCAGACUGAAGGGUCCCGGUUCAAUUCCGGUCAAGGGCA